UCCACACGCCAAGAGAGAGACUCUUAGGCAUGUGGUUCUCUGGUUUUUGGAACCCAACAGCAAGCCCAAUUAAAACACUUCGAACCCACUUCAAGACCAAAUCCAAUUUGGCUCAAAUUGGUUCUAAAUUAGCCCAAAUCAGAACCCGAUUCAAAUUCGAUUCGAAUCUAAAUGCUAGGGUUUACAACAUGUGCUAGCAUGUUCAACUUGCAAACAUGGUUUAAUCAAAUUAAACCCAUGAUCAAUUCCCUUUGUGUGUGACCCAUUGGGUUUCACAUCUAGCCAGC
rnacentral:lncRNA from 1 species